CAACACGCAAGAGAGAUACACCAUCAGCAGCAGAAGAUGACCGUGUCGGAGCCGCAACACCUGUUGAAGGUUGUUUUUUUUAAUUCCUUCUUUGAUUUUAGCAGAAUAAGUACAAUGGACACCAGAAAAUUACAAAAAAAUAUCUCAGACAUGGCCUUCUCUUCAUCAGAAAACAGCAGCCCAACUAUCAUAAAGGUUUCCACAAAAGCAGCCUCGUACUUUAUAAAAAGUGACCUCGACACAUUGCAGACACUGAUUGGUUCCGAGUUUUGUCACGGACAAUAACCACGCACGGGGUAAAAGUGUCUAGGCAUCAGUUGCAGCAGCCAAAAAGGGCACGCCAUGCUCUUUGGGGGAGCUACAAACCUUCAUGUUGCUCACUUGCGAAACGACAGAAAGGCUGGAUGACUCCACUCAUAUCUAGCAAGUGGACCAGCAGCUUUAUGGAA
ensembl:lncRNA